rnacentral:rRNA from 1 species
UGGGGAAUAUUGGACAAUGGGCGAAAGCCUGAUCCAGCCAUGCCGCGUGUGUGAAGAAGGUCUUCGGAUUGUAAAGCACUUUAAGUUGGGAGGAAGGGCAGUAAGCGAAUACCUUGCUGUUUUGACGUUACCGACAGAAUAAGCACCGGCUAACUCUGUGCCAGCAGCCGCGGUAAUACAGAGGGUGCAAGCGUUAAUCGGAAUUACUGGGCGUAAAGCGCGCGUAGGUGGUUCGUUAAGUUGAAUGUGAAAGCCCCGGGCUCAACCUAGGAACUGCAUCCAAAACUGGCGAGCUAGAGUAGGGCAGAGGAUGGUGGAAUUUCCUGUGUAGCGGUGAAAUGCGUAGAUAUAGGAAGGAACACCAGUGGCGAAGGCGACCACCUGGGCUCAUACUGACACUGAGGUGCGAAAGCGUGGGGAGCAAACAGG